UGGCGGGGUAGAGGCCCACCAAACCGACGAUCAGUAGCCGGCCUGAGAGGGUGGACGGCCACAUUGGGACUGAGACACGGCCCAAACUCCUACGGGAGGCAGCAGUGGGGGAUAUUGCACAAUGGGGGAAACCCUGAUGCAGCAACGCCGCGUGUGGGAAGAAGGUUUUCGGAUUGUAAACCACUGUUCUCAGGGACGAUAAUGACGGUACCUGAGGAGAAAGCUCCGGCUAACUAC
rnacentral:rRNA from 1 species